AAGCAAUGAAGGGCACACGGUGGAUGCCUAGGCAUGCAGAGGCGAAGAAGGACGUGUAAAGCUGCGAUAAGCUGCGGGGAGCUGCACAAGAGCUGUGAUCCGUGGAUUUCCGAAUGGGGCAACCCAUCCCGCUUGCGGGAUAUCCUUUCGAGGAGGCAUACCCGGGGAACUGAAACAUCUAAGUACCCGGAGGAAGAGAAAACAACAGUGAUUCCCUAAGUAGUGGCGAGCGAACGGGGAACAGCCCAAACCGUACCCUACGGGGUGCGGGGUAGUAGGACCUGUAUAAGUUACGCGCAUUUAAAUCGAAGCUGCCUGGAAAGCAGCGCCACAGAA
rnacentral:rRNA from 11 species